rnacentral:ribozyme from 16 species
UUUUUUUUUUUUUUUUUUUUUUUUUUUUUUUUUUC